UAAGGAAUAUUGGUCAAUGGACGCAAGUCUGAACCAGCCAUGCCGCGUGAAGGAUGAAGGUCCUCUGGAUUGUAAACUUCUUUUAUCUGGGACGAAAACGGGAUUUUUAUCUCAAUUGACGGUACCAGAGGAAUAAGCACCGGCUAACUCCGUGCCAGCAGCCGCGGUAAUACGGAGGGUGCGAGCGUUAUCCGGAUUUACUGGGUUUAAAGGGUGCGUAGGUGGGCUUAUAAGUCAGUGGUGAAAUCUCCGAGCUUAACUUGGAAACUGCCGUUGAUACUAUAGGUCCUGAAUUAUCUGGAGGUAAGCGGAAUAUGUCAUGUAGCGGUGAAAUGCUUAGAUAUGACAUAGAACACCAAUUGCGAAGGCAGCUUACUACAUAUAAAUUGACGCUGAGGCACGAAAGCGUGGGGAUCAAAC
rnacentral:rRNA from 1 species